rnacentral:rRNA from 1 species
GACAGAGCCUCGAGCGUUAGGCGGAAUCACUGGGCUUAAAGCGUGUGUAGGCGGGCCCGUAAGUGUCUUGUGAAAUCCCACGGCUCAACCGUGGAACUGCUGGGCAUACUGCGGGUCUUGGGCCAACUAGGGGCAACUGGAACAAGCGGUGGAGCGGUGAAAUGCGUAGAUAUCGCUUGGAACGCCAAAGGUGAAAACGAGGUGACUGGGGUUGUGCCGACGCUGAGACACGAAGCCAGGGAGCAAACGG